rnacentral:rRNA from 1 species
GGGUUGUGAGGUUAAGCGACUAAGCGUACACGGUGGAUGCCCUGGCAGUCAGAGGCGAUGAAGGACGUGCUAAUCUGCGAAAAGCGUCGGUAAGGUGAUAUGAACCGUUACAGCCGGCGAUGUCCGAAUGGGGAAACCCAGUGCAAUUCGUUGCACUAUCGUUAACUGAAUACAUAGGUUAACGAGGCGAACCGGGGGAACUGAAACAUCUAAGUACCCCGAGGAAAAGAAAUCAACCGAGAUUCCCCCAGUAGCGGCGAGCGAACGGGGAGCAGCCCAGAGUCUGAAUCAGCUUGUGUGUUAGUGGAACGGUCUGGAAAGUCCGACGGUACAGGGUGAUAGUCCCGUACACCAAAAUGCACAGGCUGUGAACUCGAAGAGUAGGGCGGGACACGUGGUAUCCUGUCUGAAUAUGGGGGGACCAUCCUCCAAGGCUAAAUACUCCUGACUGACCGAUAGUGAACCAGUACCGUGAGGGAAAGGCGAAAAGAACCCCGGCGAGGGGAGUGAAAAAGAACCUGAAACCGUGUACGUACAAGCAGUGGGAGCACCUUCGGGUGUGACUGCGUACCUUUUGUAUAAUGGGUCAGCGACUUAUAUUCUGUAGCAAGGUUAACCGUAUAGGGGAGCCGCAGGGAAACCGAGUCUUAACUGGGCGUUAAGUUGCAGGGUAUAGACCCGAAACCCGGUGAUCUAGCCAUGGGCAGGUUGAAGGUUGGGUAACACUAACUGGAGGACCGAACCGACUAAUGUUGAAAAAUUAGCGGAUGACUUGUGGCUGGGGGUGAAAGGCCAAUCAAACCGGGAGAUAGCUGGUUCUCCCCGAAAGCUAUUUAGGUAGCGCCUCGUGAAUUCAUCUUCGGGGGUAGAGCACUGUUUCGGCUAGGGGGUCAUCCCGACUUACCAACCCGAUGCAAACUACGAAUACCGAAGAAUGUUAUCACGGGAGACACACGGCGGGUGCUAACGUCCGUCGUGAAGAGGGAAACAACCCAGACCGCCAGCUAAGGUCCCAAAGUCAUGGUUAAGUGGGAAACGAUGUGGGAAGGCACAGACAGCCAGGAUGUUGGCUUAGAAGCAGCCAUCAUUUAAAGAAAGCGUAAUAGCUCACUGGUCGAGUCGGCCUGCGCGGAAGAUGUAACGGGGCUAAACCAUGCACCGAAGCUGCGGCAGCGACACUAUGUGUUGUUGGGUAGGGGAGCGUUCUGUAAGCCUGCGAAGGUGACCUGUGAGGGUUGCUGGAGGUAUCAGAAGUGCGAAUGCUGACAUAAGUAACGAUAAAGCGGGUGAAAAGCCCGCUCGCCGGAAGACCAAGGGUUCCUGUCCAACGUUAAUCGGGGCAGGGUGAGUCGACCCCUAAGGCGAGGCCGAAAGGCGUAGUCGAUGGGAAACAGGUUAAUAUUCCUGUACUUGGUGUUACUGCGAAGGGGGGACGGAGAAGGCUAUGUUAGCCGGGCGACGGUUGUCCCGGUUUAAGCAUGUAGGCUGGUUGUCCAGGCAAAUCCGGAUAAUCAAGGCUGAGGUGUGAUGACGAGGCACUACGGUGCUGAAGUAACAAAUGCCCUGCUUCCAGGAAAAGCCUCUAAGCAUCAGGUAACAUCAAAUCGUACCCCAAACCGACACAGGUGGUCAGGUAGAGAAUACCAAGGCGCUUGAGAGAACUCGGGUGAAGGAACUAGGCAAAAUGGUGCCGUAACUUCGGGAGAAGGCACGCUGGUGUGUAGGUGAAGUCCCUGCGGAUGGAGCUGAGACCAGUCGAAGAUACCAGCUGGCUGCAACUGUUUAUUAAAAACACAGCACUGUGCAAACACGAAAGUGGACGUAUACGGUGUGACGCCUGCCCGGUGCCGGAAGGUUAAUUGAUGGGGUUAUCCGUAAGGAGAAGCUCUUGAUCGAAGCCCCGGUAAACGGCGGCCGUAACUAUAACGGUCCUAAGGUAGCGAAAUUCCUUGUCGGGUAAGUUCCGACCUGCACGAAUGGCGUAAUGAUGGCCAGGCUGUCUCCACCCGAGACUCAGUGAAAUUGAACUCGCUGUGAAGAUGCAGUGUACCCGCGGCAAGACGGAAAGACCCCGUGAACCUUUACUAUAGCUUGACACUGAACAUUGAGCCUUGAUGUGUAGGAUAGGUGGGAGGCUUUGAAGCGUGGACGCCAGUCUGCGUGGAGCCAACCUUGAAAUACCACCCUUUAAUGUUUGAUGUUCUAACGUUGGCCCCUGACCGGGGUUGCGGACAGUGUCUGGUGGGUAGUUUGACUGGGGCGGUCUCCUCCCAAAGCGUAACGGAGGAGCACGAAGGUUAGCUAAUCCUGGUCGGACAUCAGGAGGUUAGUGCAAUGGCAUAAGCUAGCUUGACUGCGAGCGUGACGGCGCGAGCAGGUGCGAAAGCAGGUCAUAGUGAUCCGGUGGUUCUGAAUGGAAGGGCCAUCGCUCAACGGAUAAAAGGUACUCCGGGGAUAACAGGCUGAUACCGCCCAAGAGUUCAUAUCGACGGCGGUGUUUGGCACCUCGAUGUCGGCUCAUCACAUCCUGGGGCUGAAGUAGGUCCCAAGGGUAUGGCUGUUCGCCAUUUAAAGUGGUACGCGAGCUGGGUUUAGAACGUCGUGAGACAGUUCGGUCCCUAUCUGCCGUGGGCGCUGGAGAAUUGAGGGGGGCUGCUCCUAGUACGAGAGGACCGGAGUGGACGCAUCACUGGUGUUCGGGUUGUCAUGCCAAUGGCACUGCCCGGUAGCUAAAUGCGGAAGAGAUAAGUGCUGAAAGCAUCUAAGCACGAAACUUGCCCCGAGAUGAGUUCUCCCUGAGACUUUAAGUCUCCUGAAGGAACGUUAAAGACGAUGACGUUGAUAGGCCGGGUGUGUAAGCGCAGCGAUGCGUUGAGCUAACCGGUACUAAUGAACCGUGAGGCUUAACCUUACAACGCCGAAG